rnacentral:rRNA from 1 species
AGAGUUUGAUCCUGGCUCAGAUUGAACGCUGGCGGCAUGCCUUACACAUGCAAGUCGAACGGUAGAGUAGCAAUACUUGAGAGUGGCGAACGGGUGAGUAAUAUAUCGGAACGUGCCCAGUCGUGGGGGAUAACGUAGAGAAAUUUACGCUAAUACCGCAUACGAUCUAAGGAUGAAAGCGGGGGAUCGCAAGACCUCGCGCGAUUGGAGUGGCUGAUAUCAGAUUAGGUUGUUGGUGAGGUAAAAGCUCACCAAGCCGUCGAUCUGUAGCUGGUUUGAGAGAACGACCAGCCACACUGGGACUGAGACACGGCCCAGACUCCUACGGGAGGCAGCAGUGGGGAAUUUUGGACAAUGGGCGAAAGCCUGAUCCAGCAAUGCCGCGUGUGGGAAGAAGGCCUUCGGGUUGUAAACCACUUUUGUACGGAACGAAACGGUUCGCUUUAAUACAGUGGGCUAAUGACGGUACCGUAAGAAUAAGCACCGGCUAACUACGUGCCAGCAGCCGCGGUAAUACGUAGGGUGCGAGCGUUAAUCGGAAUUACUGGGCGUAAAGCGUGCGCAGGCGGUUAUAUAAGACAGUUGUGAAAUCCCCGGGCUCAACCUGGGAAUUGCAUCUGUGACUGUAUAGCUAGAGUACGGUAGAGGGGGAGGAAUUCCGC